UGGUGGAGCGAUUUGUCGGGUCAAUUCCGAUAACGAACGAGACUCUAGCCUACUAAAUAGUUCGGGGACCCCCACAAAGGGGCCCCGCUUCAACUUCUUAGAGGGACAGGUGGCGUUUAGCCACACGAGAUUGAGCAAUAACA
rnacentral:rRNA from 1 species